rnacentral:rRNA from 1 species
AGCGAACGCUGGCGGCAGGCCUAACACAUGCAAGUCGAGCGCCCCGCAAGGGGGGCGGCAGACGGGAGAGUAACACGUGGGAACGUGCCCUUCAGUUCGGAACAACCCAGGGAAACUUGGGCUAAUACCGGAUACGUCCGAAAGGAGAAAGAUUUAUCGCUGAAGGAGCGGCCCGCGUCUGAUUAGCUAGUUGGGGAGGUAACGGCUCACCAAGGCGACGAUCAGUAGCUGGUCUGAGAGGAUGAUCAGCCUCACUGGGACUGAGACACGGCCCAGACUCCUACGGGAGGCAGCAGUGGGGAAUAUUGGACAAUGGGCGCAAGCCUGAUCCAGCCAUGCCGCGUGGGUGAUGAAGGCCCUAGGGUUGUAAAGCCCUUUCGGCGGGGAAGAUAAUGACGGUACCCGCAGAAGAAGCCCCGGCUAACUUCGUGCCAGCCGCCGCAGUAAUAC